CCCAUCCCAGAACGUGGUGAACUAUAUCUGUGCAAUGUAUCAUUUCUAUUUCAAACAUACACACAUGGUUUCCUCUUGUAUUGUCUUAUAAAUAAGGAUCAGGAAAGUCAUAACAAACAUUGACUUGUGUUGUGUAUAUGGAAGAACAGAUCGAAUGAGAUGAACUGCUCUAUUAUAAUCUGUCCAGUGAAUUUACUUGCACUGGAAGAGAAGACCUUGACUUGCCAGACAUGACAGCCCAGCCAGGGAAUUAGAACUUUGUUAUACUUCCGACUUAACCAAUUAUCAUAGUUGAAAAAGACUAACUUAAAUGAAGGGUUGAGGAAUAAUCGAGAAUCAAAUGUGUCAUUCAAAUUACUUGAAGUUAAUGGAGUUUGGUAAACAUGACAAAGUUUUCAAUAGGGGACGAGGUCAGAGAAACAACAAUGAAAAGGAGCUAUCCAUUAACUUAACUAACUUGGAGUUGAC
rnacentral:lncRNA from 1 species